UUGCAGGACCACAAGGAAGUAACCGUUGAUGCAGGUCUGAUAAAGCAUCUAUACAGGGUAUAUAUGUAUAGCGAGAUAGUGACUUCAAGGGUUCUAGAGUGAAGUGCUAAGGGCUAUACAUUGGUGUCUCAGGCGUUUCCCAUGGUUGUGGAUGUGAGACAUGUUUCAGAAGCUGAAUUCAAGUCAUUUGGUGGAGUCUUGUAUAUUGGUUGAAGUAUUACAGGGCAUUUCUUAUGACUAAAGGAGGUAUCGCAGGUUCUAUAUUUGGUGUGGAAGUAGCCGUACAUGAUCGUCUCAGGAUUAUCACAAGUUUAUGUUGAUAUAAGACAAGUUUUAAGGUGCUGGUAGUGCUUAAAGUCUGCUGGCUGGUGUUCUGUUUAAACAGAACGGUUUUGACAAUGAUGAUGUUUCAGUGCUGUUGGUUCAUACAGGCUGACGUGAAGGCAAUCUCAGAUUAUGCAGUAUUUCUAAACAGGCUGUUGGGGUUGUUUCCAAGGAGAUCCAAAGGGCUUCUUAUUGGAGGAUAAAAUGCCUUUGUUCUUUGUAUUUGAUUCAAGAAGAAUGUGUUUUGCAAACAGGUUUGUUUCAACACAGUGUUUGGACCAAGCUUGUGUCGAAAGUCUGUUCAACAUUGAGGGUAGUUGGAUGGCGUGUUCUGUUAGAGAUAACGGCGGUACAAGAAGUGCUCAAGGCUAGUAUGUUUCAAGCAGAGAGAAGAAUCAGGGAUUGUUUCAGGUUUGAAACAUGUAUGAUUCAGAGUUUGCUGCACAUAAAUCUCAAGGAAUUUUGAUUCAAGACUUAAAGCACAUGAGUAGAAUCAAAAAAAAAAAGGGCCAGUGAGGGAAUCAGGUUGCAGAGAAACAAAGGCAAACAAAGCUUUUUUUUGGAGAAUUUAUAAAAACGGUGGAGCUUAUGGAGAGUUCUGAUGUGGUUAAUUGGUUUAAUGGAAAUUUAAACUGGUUAAUGUGUUUUGCUGAGCAGUUAUUUCAGGCAUUCAAGAUUUGAAAGCCUCAUGGAUUGAUCAGUGGAGAGUUGAGCUCAAUACAAGUCGGUAUUGAAGCUGGUUUUCACAACUCUGGUGAUCUCAAGAAGCUUUGGUGGCUCAGGUUCAGCAGUGUGAACAUUGAAAGCUGAAGGGCAUGGAACAUAAGUUAAAUGCAGUAUGGAUUGAGCAAGUCUGAGUAAUCAUACUCAGGAACCGGGAUUGGAAUCCACAAAACUAGAUGAUCAUGUCUAUCUCAAGCUCUUCUAUUUCGUGGUUGGUAUUUGUUUGAUCUCUCAUUGCUAGGUGGAGAUUUGUUGGAAUUAGCUAUGAAGAUCAAGACAAAAUACAAAAGAGAAAGACUUGGAGAAGAAGUUGUGAGCUCAAUAUACAAGAAUCACGUGACCAAAGAAUUGCAGGACCACAAGGAAGUAACCGUUUAUGCAGGUCUGAUAAAGCAAAAGGAAAAGUAGUCUUGUCUCCUAUGAAACUACAAGAUAAGGACGAGCAUUAAUUGCUACUAGCCAAGACAAGGGAAUUUGGUGGAAGAUGCAAAAAGAACAUGAGGUCUAUUCGUGUAUAUAUAUAGAGCCGGUCAAACAAUUGAGAGAGAUAGCACAACACAAUGUAGAAAGAUCGAGAGAGAGAACAUCACUAAAAGUGUAAACUUGGUGAGUGUUCUUGGGAUAUAGAGUGAAAGAGUGAGAACUGAGAGAAACCUUUGUAAGAGGGCUUUUGGGGUUUGGGGAUCUCUUUGUACACUCUAUCAUCUAGUGGAUUCUGGGAAGAAAUCCCGGCGAGAUGUAGCGACCCGAGUUUAUGGGCGUGAACUCGUUAAAUGUUGUGUGUGCUCCCUUUUCUUUUCUGCUAUGUUCUUAUAUCUUCUUCGUUUUGUUUCUUGCUCUGUUUUACGUUGUGGCUGGUGUUUUCACAUCAAAGACAACUCAAAGCUAGAACCUUUGAGAGGCCAAAUCCUAACAAACUGGUAUCAGAGCCCAGGUUUGGCAAAGAAAGGUGCAAACUUUACAAGAAAGUCACAAGCUUUGUCAAGAAAGUCGACAGCUUUGUCAAGAAAUGGCUUCCGGAAGUGCAGGUCUAGAGAAGUUGAUGGAUCUGGGGAUGUCUCAAUGAGACGGGUGUAUCUUGGUCAUCUAGAGGGUUUAGAUCUGUUGAAGCAUUGAGAGAAGGAGAUAAAGACAGAGGAGUAAGGUUUCUGCAGAGAAGAAGUUCAGCUGGAGACCUUGGAUUCGGAAAAGAAGUUUGUCGAAAGCUCUAACGGUUUCUCAGAGAGCUUGAGACAGGAGGUUCUCGCCAGUAAAGGCAGAAUCUGAUGGAAUGGGCUCGAGGUUCUGUUUGACUCCGAGAAGAGCAGAACCAGAGUCCGAGACGAAAGGGAUAAAGAUCUUGAAGUAAAUCAGAUCAGAAGAGAGCAAGGUUGAUUUUGGAAGUUCAUGAAAUCAGAGGCUCGAGUGAAGGUGUUUCUUGUCAACGGCAAAGAAAUCAGUGGAAAUCGCAGAGGCAGUAGGGUUCAAGUUACCGGAGUAACCGCCGAAAGAAGCAAAGACUACAGUCACGGAAGGAGUUAAGAAUCGCCACAGUUUUGGCGUGAGCUUGUGCGGCCACCGGAGAAGUCUCUGGAGGUUGAAAAUGCGAUAGAUAUUCACCGGGAAUUGGAGCGUUGUCCAACGUUGUCCACCGGGAUCGUGAUCGGNNNNNNNNNNNNNNNNNNNNNNNNNNNNNNNNNNNNNNNNNNNNNNNNNNNNNNNNNNNNNNNNNNNNNNNNNNNNNNNNNNNNNNNNNNNNNNNNNNNNNNNNNNNNNNNNNNNNNNNNNNNNNNNNNNNNNNNNNNNNNNNNNNNNNNNNNNNNNNNNNNNNNNNNNNNNNNNNNNNNNNNAGGAGAAUUUUGGUGGUGAAUAGUGAAGGGAAGAGUCAUGGUUGAAUCAGUGAUACUUCCGGUGAACCUAAGGCAGAUUUCUGUGGUGAAAUAUUGUCUUUGUAAGAAAACUCAAAGACUGAUGCUGAAUUCACAUGAUUAAAGAUGAUGUUCUUGAUAUGUGAAGAGUUAAAUCAGCAUUGACUUGAUUUAAGGUGGAGUUCUGCAGUACUAGUUCGGUUCAGGCUCAAGAAGGUACAAGUCAAGGUUUUCUGACUAAAACCUAUGAAGAUAGAAUCAAAGCAUCAUUCAACAAGACAAGCUCUACAAGCAAGCAAGAUGAAAGUUUCAUCGGGUGAAGAGUGGAUUCAGAUCCUGGAAAUGUUCUUAUUCCGCUGCUACACAAGGUAUGUUGUGUGAUACUCUAAUCUGAAGUUUCUGGGUUUCCCAAAGAUCUGCAUAUUCAAAGAACGUGAAAGCUGGGUGGAACACAAGGUUAUGUACUGAUUUUACAAAUGGAUUGGCCAAGAUUCAGUGUUGGGUUUUCAUGCUGAAUUUUGGGUUUGAAUUAGUUUGGUGAAGUCUGCUACAGUUGGUGUUCAAUUACUGUUGGGAUGAUGGCCUCGGAAACUCAUUGAUUGGGUUAAAGACAAGACUUCAGUGAUUGGUUGAGUUUUAAAGAGGGUUUGUUGCAGGGCUAUGUCUCAGUAUUAAGAGGUUAGAUUCUUGUGAAUCUAAGAGUCUACAGUCGGUGUAUCAUCAGUGAUCGCAGGUACAAGGUUAUUUCAGAGCAGAUGAAAUGAUGGUGCUGAGUCUGUAGCAGUUAUUGAUGCAGGUUUGUACUGGAACAGAACAAGAUUGUCGGUUAAGUUGAAAGUUUAGUUAGACAGUUUGGUCUCAAGAUUCAAGUCCAGGAAAUAGCUGUCUUCAGAAGAAUGUUUCAUUAAGUUUGAAGUUAAAACUUAUGAGACAUAUAGAGCUCCAAGGAAUUUUAGCUCAAGGUGGAGCUUCAUAUCAUAAGAUUGAAAGCAAGAGCAACUUAGGACGAGUUUCUAAGGCUGGUUACAUGUAAAUCAAAUGCAUGCACCAAGAGAUAAACUUCAGGUUUUGCAAGGAUAUAUUGCUGAGAGGUUAGUCGAUUGGGGAAACUUUGUUCAUGGAAAAGUUGUUGGCGUUCUUGGAGGGUUUUCUUGGAGACUGUUGGAUGUAGCUACAGGAGGUUCUACAGUCAAAGUACACAAGGAUAAAGUGUGUGAAGAAAACAGGGGUCCAAGAGAAAAUGAAGAUGUCUAAAGGUUCAAGCUAAUCAGGUUGCAACCAGGGUAAGCGUUUUGAAGCUUUGUUUUAUCGCUUGAUGGUAGUGAAGACAUCUAGAAAUCAGUUGCAAUUUUUGGAGCAAGUUCAGAGUUAAGAACUAAGUAUUUGCAACUGAAUUGAGAUCCAAGAUAGGAUCAGAAUGCAGAGGGUAAAAGCUGCAUCGGAAAAGCAGAACAAGCAAUGUUCUGGGUCACCUAUUUGCAUCUUAAGAAGGUCUGGUGGAUGAAUCUUCAAAGGGUUCACUUGCAGGAAGUUCAAGUUGAGUUGUUAUUAGUUGGCACACUUAAAAGAAACUCAUGAGUAUAAGGUGAAGAUUCAGUCUGAUCUUUGAGGGUUAAGAUGUUAGUGCCAAAGGUAGGUGGAGUUUGCAUACAGGUGAAUGUGAUGCAGGGUAUAUAUGUAUAGCGAGAUAGUGACUUCAAGGGUUCUAGAGUGAAGUGCUAAGGGCUAUACAUUGGUGUCUCAGGCGUUUCCCAUGGUUGUGGAUGUGAGACAUGUUUCAGAAGCUGAAUUCAAGUCAUUUGGUGGAGUCUUGUAUAUUGGUUGAAGUAUUACAGGGCAUUUCUUAUGACUAAAGGAGGUAUCGCAGGUUCUAUAUUUGGUGUGGAAGUAGCCGUACAUGAUCGUCUCAGGAUUAUCACAAGUUUAUGUUGAUAUAAGACAAGUUUUAAGGUGCUGGUAGUGCUUAAAGUCUGCUGGCUGGUGUUCUGUUUAAACAGAACGGUUUUGACAAUGAUGAUGUUUCAGUGCUGUUGGUUCAUACAGGCUGACGUGAAGGCAAUCUCAGAUUAUGCAGUAUUUCUAAACAGGCUGUUGGGGUUGUUUCCAAGGAGAUCCAAAGGGCUUCUUAUUGGAGGAUAAAAUGCCUUUGUUCUUUGUAUUUGAUUCAAGAAGAAUGUGUUUUGCAAACAGGUUUGUUUCAACACAGUGUUUGGACCAAGCUUGUGUCGAAAGUCUGUUCAACAUUGAGGGUAGUUGGAUGGCGUGUUCUGUUAGAGAUAACGGCGGUACAAGAAGUGCUCAAGGCUAGUAUGUUUCAAGCAGAGAGAAGAAUCAGGGAUUGUUUCAGGUUUGAAACAUGUAUGAUUCAGAGUUUGCUGCACAUAAAUCUCAAGGAAUUUUGAUUCAAGACUUAAAGCACAUGAGUAGAAUCAAAAAAAAAAAAGGGCCAGUGAGGGAAUCAGGUUGCAGAGAAACAAAGGCAAACAAAGCUUUUUUUGGAGAAUUUAUAAAAACGGUGGAGCUUAUGGAGAGUUCUGAUGUGGUUAAUUGGUUUAAUGGAAAUUUAAACUGGUUAAUGUGUUUUUCUGAGCAGUUAUUUCAGGCAUUCAAGAUUUGAAAGCCUCAUGGAUUGAUCAGUGGAGAGUUGAGCUCAAUACAAGUCGGUAUUGAAGCUGGUUUUCACAACUCUGGUGAUCUCAAGAAGCUUUGGUGGCUCAGGUUCAGCAGUGUGAACAUUGAAAGCUGAAGGGCAUGGAACAUAAGUUAAAUGCAGUAUGGAUUGAGCAAGUCUGAGUAAUCAUACUCAGGAACCGGGAUUGGAAUCCACAAAACUAGAUGAUCAUGUCUAUCUCAAGCUCUUCUAUUUCGUGGUUGGUAUUUGUUUGAUCUCUCAUUGCUAGGUGGAGAUUUGUUGGAAUUAGCUAUGAAGAUCAAGACAAAAUACAAAAGAGAAAGACUUGGAGAAGAAGUUGUGAGCUCAAUAUACAAGAAUCACGUGACCAAAGAAUUGCAGGACCACAAGGAAGUAACCGUUGAUGCAGGUCUGAUAAAGCAAAAGGAAAAGUAGUCUUGUCUCCUAUGAAACUACAAGAUAAGGACGAGCAUUAAUUGCUACUAGCCAAGACAAGGGAAUUUGGUGGAAGAUUCAAAAAGAACAUGAGGUCUAUUCGUGUAUAUAUAUAGAGCCGGUCAAACAAUUGAGAGAGAUAGCACAACACAAUGUAGAAAGAUCGAGAG
rnacentral:lncRNA from 1 species